UCGCGUGCGACCGUCUUCUUCCUCCGCCCCCAAAUCGUCCUCCAGUGCGCCGGUCUUCCUCCUCCGCGUGCGAUGCGUAGUACCAGAGCAAGAUGAACAACGAAGCUAGGUCGUCCAGUCGGCUCCGAUCUACGGUAUCGGAGAAAGGGGCACCAGGCCCAUCAUCGGAAUCGAACGAAUCGUUCUCCUUCCCUUUGGAGCACAAGGCCCAACAUCCGAAUCGGAAGAUCAGUUCUUCUUCCACGCGAUUUAAGUGUAUGUGCUGCCGCCGUAAUCAUGGAUUGAUGACGCUGGUAAUUUCGACCCAUUCUUCAAUCCUGUCAUUAUACCCCGUCCUGUGAUUAUGACGAUUAAUCUGAGCGUUACUGUCAGUUCUCCCUUCUCUUUCAUAUAAAUAUGUGGACACAGCCCACGUCUUUCCUCAUUACAUCCAUCUCACAUUGGACGUCUCAUUAUUCAUCGAAGAUGCUCGUUGUUUAGGUUUGACUUUCUCCUUGCUUGCAAUCAUGUUUUUCGUAUCUGGUUACAUUUUCGCAAAAAAUAUGUACCCAAAUGACAUAUUCUUGCUUCCUUACUUCUUCCAGGGAUUGUCCUCAUAUUCUUGCUUCCUUACUUCUUCCAGGGAUUGUCCUGAUCGUUUCUUCCAGAUUAUUAUUCACGGAUUCCUCUUACCAGUGUAAUAACCUUUAUAUUAUUUGACAAUGGCUGCUGGACAUCUACACUUGCUGACGCAUUCUUUACAGAUUGUUUCUUGUUUAUUUGUCCAUUUAAACUAGCUUCAUAGUGCGCCGUACCAUGUAAUUUCCAAAUUUUAACGAACAUCUGCAUGUAAGUACAUACUUCUACCUAGCUUUCCAUCUCAGUGUAACCGUUUAUAUAUCAUAGGAUGUACCUCUGAAGAAUAAAUGACAAAGCGUUGUCGAGCACGAACCGAAUUUAACGAUGGCCUAAUAAUCUUCAGGGAGGAUGGUGUUGCUGAUUUGUGUACUGAUGCAUGAUGGACAUCUCGAGAGGAUUUUGUCGGAACACUUGGUGUACUGUUUUGUAUUUUCGGACUCCUUGAUUUUGUACAGCAGUCCUGGAUGGAAUAAUUAGCUGGUCUUUUAUCUCUAGGGAAUGGACUUCUUUGAGUAGUGAGUAUUUAAAGUUCUGUAUCAAACAAGGUAUUUUUGUAUGCCUAUUCAUAAGCGCUAGGGUUAUUGUCUCUAGCUUUGUAGGAACUAGCAAAAAUAGAUAGUGGGAAUAAUUAAUUUAGAUAUAGCAGAUAAUUAGCUUGUGUUUCAAACCUCUUGAAUGAAAUUCCUUGAAGAAAAGAUAACCUGUCAACCAACUGAAAUAUCCUUGAUGAGGCGUUAAACCAGUUAUAAAGUUAAAAUUUAUUCGAUUAUCACUGAAUUAUUUUUAGGGAAACAACUUAAAUUUCCAUGCAUCAUUUUUCCACUUUUCAUGUAUUCAUUUCAGCUAUAAUUAUGAGAGUAUUAGAUGCACUAAAUACGAAUCGUGUCACAGAAAACUGACAAUACGCAGAGCAAGAUGAUCUUAUCUCAUGCUAUUGAAGCUGGAUAUGGUUUAAAACCUAGAUUCUGAAAUUGUGUUUCAUGAAAUUACUUACUGGUAUCAGAUUAUUUUUCUUAAUUAUUCAUGCUAUUUUCAUUCUUAUUCUUCAUCCUUU